UAUGGUGGUUGAUAACAUGUUGGAAACCAUGUAGUUCAGCAUGUACACCCCUCUUGGCUUAAACCAAUCAGUUCAAAUGAAUACCCCUUUUGUACUGACCAAUCACCCCUACCCAACUUGUUCCUGCCAGUGAAUGUGCUAAUCAUGUUUUAGAGUUGUUAUUUGAUUUUCCCGCGGUGUGUGAUGAUUUGCUAAGAGAUGCUAUGAUGUAUGUGA
rnacentral:lncRNA from 1 species